rnacentral:tRNA from 1 species
GCUGGCGUAGCUCAGUUGGUAGAGCAGCUGAUUUGUAAUCAGCAGGUCGUCGGUUCGAGUCCGACCUCCAGCU